GCUCAAGAGCACACGCAGACUGACAAACGCUGUUAGCCUGUAAGCGUCCAGGUGAUUCUCCUCCUCCACUCUUUAAAUUUGACCUACGCUAUUUUAUAAUUUCGAACAUAAAAGACUUUUAUAAAUCUCUACAAAACUGAUUUGUAACAAAAAUUAGUUCUACAUCACAAGCACGUGGCUUAGCCCUCGGGACAUAUUUUCGUGUUCUCGAUUUCUGAACAUGCCAGAAAGAACGGAUUUGAGCUUUUCCAGGCCAGGACGAUGGAGCACCUUGGGAUUCGCUGUCCCUGUGACAACACUGCCACCCUGUGGUGGAGCCAGCGCCACACAGGCUUCUGCACAGCAUUUGCAAAUUCUGACUCCCAGAGACCUGUGCCAGCUGGGUAGAAAUACGGGCUCUCUGGUGAGCAUGGGCCCCUGUGCAGCUAAAAUUAUGGAAUUUCCUUUACACUGUAGCGUUUGAUGACUUUUUAUGAAAGUGUCAUCAUACUGGUGGGCUUCAGUAAAUUUCUGGGCUCCUGAAUGCUUAACCCCAGGACUGCCGCAGCCUCCAUCAGAGCCAGAUACUCUGUGGGGAACACUUCAACCUGGAUUCCAGAAACUUUAUUAGGGUUUUUGAUAUGGAAAUCACUCCAAAACACAGUGAGGACUCCUUCCAUCCUGAGAAGCCAAUACUAUGAUGACCAACUAGUCCCCUCACUGCCUGAACAGGGCAAAUGGACAAACUGUCUCCAGAUAGUUUUUUGUUUGUUUUGUGAGGCAGUUAUUUAAAAAAAAAAAUUCACCAAAGACUUUAAGCUUAUGGUAGCAAGCAAUGAAACAGUAUCUGAUAAAGCACAUAUUAAUAAACUUUAGAUUAAUCAAAUAUAUAGAAUUUGCCUUUUUUCUUUUUUUAACCAAGGGCCCAUAAAAAGUUAAUUACUUUGAGCUGUUCAUUCUACGGAGAAAGGCGGACUAUGACUUGCCCAAAGUUCCACAGUGAAUGACGGAACCAGGAUUAGAACUUGGGUCAUGUCAUGCCUAUGUCAGAACAUUCUACUUUUUCCAGCCUGAUACAUACUUAUUUUUGGUUGGUUAGUUGGUUUUAUGUUUUGUUUUGCAUCUUGGGGUGCUGAAUUAGAAAUUAACUCUGAUACCUCAUUGCAUCAACGUGCAUAGCUUAUAACUCCUGCUCCUGUGACUUAGGAGACAGAGACGAAACAGGCAUCCCUGACAGACCCCAUGGCUUCCAGGUCUCCGUGUCCAGACGUAUGGGACGAGGCGACUGUGGUGUAAUCUGCUCCACGCUGUGACCAUCCACAGGCUGAGUCUGGGGAAAGCAAACACUGACCAUGUCCUCCACGAAGCCAGAGCCCUGGGGCACGGCCAUGGCAGCCCCAUUUACAAUCCUGAGGCAUGCUGCCCUUCAUGGAUAAAUGCGUAAGGAAGACUUUUCUGGAAAAUGUAAUUCCAGGAAAACUACUUAAAGUUAUUUGAAAGGUCUCGGUGUGAGGAAGGAGGACGGUGGGCGUUGCUGUGAGCGGGUGUCGGUGGAGCAAGGACAAGGGCGAAUGCAGCCCCGACAGACUGGUCCAGCCACUCCAGGACAGCAACAACAGCAUUCACACAGCGAUGGAGAACUCAGACACAAAAUUCUGACUCUGUAAUUUCAAGUAGUCCUGACAGGAAAGGAAAAGCACAGAAAGGAGGUGAGGAGAGGAGGGGAGGGAAAGGUCAGAGCCCAAAAGACCUCACACAGAGAUGCGCGCUGAGGGCAGAUCUUCCACAGGACACACGGAUGCACAGGAGGACGCACACACGAUCAGUAAUAAAUGCAAGAGAAUCAUAAAACCAUUAUCAAAGCAUCGGGAAAGGAUUUUGGAGUCAAGCUGGGCCCUCUCAGGGUGGAACAAGGACACUGAGCCCAGACUGGUCGGCCAGCCGCCAAGACAGCCAGGGCUGAGGUUCCCAAAGCAAGAUGCGACCCGCAGCAUCAGCAUCACCGAACUUGAGCGAUGCGGGUCCCUGGCCCCUCCGCAUCUCCAGGCAGAAUCCCAGAAUCCCAGAAUCCCAGAAUCCCAGGGGCAGGCCGUGCCGUGCGGGUGAAUAAGGCCCAGGGAGCCAGGCUGAGGGCUGGGGAGCAGAGGUGGGAGGUCAGGAGCACACGUGUGUGGGCAUCCCCGGGCAAUGCUCGGCCUCGCUGAGCCUCAGUGCCUUCAUUGCAGACCGGCGUGACUGAGCUGGCACCAGGGACAGUGCUCGGAGCCCGUGCCCAUGCACACGGCUGCAGCACGACUACUGUCUCACGCAUGUACUGGCUCUCAGAAGCCACUCCUGACCUUUACCAGCAAUUCACUCAGUUCUUCUCUUCCAAGGCAUACGGACAUGACAAACGGGGGAAAAUGUGAGUGCUCCCGGAGGGCAGAAAAAUGGGUUUCCCACGUCACUGCCAACCGCUGGAGAGCCGGAACUCACUCAAUUGGUGGGAGAUUCCCAGGCUAGGGUUUUACAAACUCUGCCAGCAGAAUAUCAGCCCAAAUGAGGUAAGCAUCAAUUAACUUCUUCAUCUGCUAAUAUCAUUUCAGAUUUGAGUUAUAGAACAGACAUGAAAGUCAGUCACUGGUAACCUAUGCACGGACACUGACAGUGUCCGUCCGGCAAAGCAAGAACCCAGUGCAUGUGUUCCUUAAACCGCGCCGUAGGGCGAAGGCUCCUGUUGCAGUCCCAGGGCCAGGGCUCAGGGACAUGCAAGAGGCUCCAGCGGAGGAGCUGGGAGAGCCCCACCUCACACAGCAUCCAAACCAGGGCACACACCUCAAAGUGAUGCAGCUCUCAGACACGUGUACACAUUCAUUUCAAAGUUAGCUGGAUCAAAACCCUCUAUUAGGUAUGGAGCUAUAAAGAGUAAAAUAUACCAUACCACAGAAUUAAAUUUCAAACUAUAGCACACGUUCAUAUGUACCCUUAUAACCUAUAAUGGUUUUAGAAUUGAGUGGUACAUGACAUGGAUAUAACAAGAGACAGAGCAUGUUUGCUGGUACACAAGCUAUAUUACAUUGACCACAAAAAUGACAAAGUGAGACUCUUCUGGUCACCACCCCUACAGCACUGAGGUUGGCCCCAGCAACGAGGGCCAGGGACAGCCCUGGCACCAGAGCUGUCCCCUGAUAGCAGGAGAGACAUUUCUCACGCAGCUAUUAUAGUCUGCAGGUGUCUGCAGACAGCAGGAGCCCACGACUCAGAGUUCUGAGGGCGGCCUAAGACAGAAGGCCUAUUUUUAGACAUAAGCCUUUGCCACUGACUGAUAGAGACUUCCUCUGACACCCCUGAGGUUUGCCAGAAGAAUUGGUUUAAGAACAAAGUAUUAAUAAGGUGACUCAGUGCUGGCAUCAGCCAAAACCUCCCAGGAUGCCUGGCUACGCAGUCAGAGCAGCAACAGCAGCUGCUACACAGCCAGGCCGCAGGGCACCCGCAGCUGAGAUGGAGAAUGCCCAGGUCCCAGUGUGCGGUGGGUUGAGCAUGACAUUUAUCUUGUUUGAAUUUCCUCUGAUGUGUAAGAAAGUAAACAUUAAUAGAAGUUUGGGGUUCACAGCUGUAGCACUAAGGGAGCACUGUUUCGAAGCAUGAUAAAGGGGAACCGAGGGGUGUGCAGGUGGAGAAGGAUGAAGGAACCCUUACAGGUCCCUAGUUCAAACCACUCACUGCCCAGAAGAGGAAACUGAAAAUGAGCAAUCCAGUGACCAGAACAAGGUCACCAAGCAAGUAAAUGGAAGAGGAUGACCAUGUCAGCGCUUGCAGACGCAUGGCGGGGACAUUCUCACGACACGGGUUUGGUUCCAGUCCCAUAACGAGACUGCAAGUGCACAGGGGAUAAAGGAGUGACCCUAAUCCACCUUCUCCCCCGUUCUCAGCCAAAUCCUCACAGAAUCACCAGAACUGGCAGAGCCUUCAUUUAUGUGUGUUUCUGCUCAAAAUGGCUGCCGUUCCAUGCUGUUUCUCAAGAGAGAAUGCUUAUCUUUUCACUGCUGUGCCGUGGGACAGGGCAGAGCAACAGCCGACAAGGACAACUGAGGGUGGCCCAGGCCACGGCACUCCCUGAAACCCCACCUGCAGACUGUCCAGACCAAUGCUGAGGUUUCUUUCAUUAAAUAUUUUUUUCUGGAAAUAGAAUCUAUUGGUAAAUAUUUAACAAGCAUGGACAAUACUUUCUGACAUAUAAAACCACGCCCAAUGAGUCUAAAGUACAAAGACUCAUAGGGAUUUUAAUGAAGCUUUUAAGUAUAUAUUUAUUUCUGUGUGUGUAUAUAUGGAUGUAUUUAAUGCA